UGGAAAAAAGACGUUUUUAUCUACUACUAGCUCUGGAGAUCGAUCACCGGAGCCUGAAGCUUCAGAACGAGGUUUUUGUUAUAAAUAUUCGUAAAGCGUGGAUGACUGCACAUUCAAAUGCACACAUUGCUCUGCUAUGUGAUCAAACCUCUCCUAUAAAUAGAAGAGGUCUAAUGGAGAAUGGGCGUAUUGGAGUGAAGUGAAGUGAAGAAAGAAAGAAGAGACCGCACGUGGAAGUUCUGGAGGCUCAGAUGCAAGAGGGUUAUCUCCCAGAGUUAGAGCAAGAAUAUUUUCGUACAAAAGCAGAGUUAGAGAUAUGAUGUGGGAAAACAGGGAAGAACUCUGUUUGUCUCAACAGGCAAAAAAGAAAUGGCUUACGGUAGGAGACCUCAACUCAAAAUUUUAUCAUGCCGUGAUAAAUCAUUAACGUAGAAAGGCUUCCGUAGUCUCAAAAAUGGCCCUUCCAAAUGGGGUUGUCUUGGAUUCUCGGGAGGAGAUUCAUAAUGCAGCAGUGGAUUACUCUCAAGAUUUUCUCACGGGGGAGGGUCCUACGGGGUCGCCAGAUUUAUGUGGUUUAUUAACAUUGGUGGUGAAUGAGGAGGACAACCAAGAGCUUGUUAAGGAGCCUACGGAGGAGGAGGUUUAGAAGGCAUUGUCUUCUAUUCCUAAAUAAAGCAGCCCAGGCCAGAUGGUUUUGGCUCUGAAUUUUAUAUGCAGUGUUGGUCUAUUGUUAAACGGGAUGUGAUAGAAGCUGCUCGUGAAUUUUUUCGAGGACUAAUGGAGUUUAGGGCAAGAACGACCUUUCUAGCGCUGUGGAGAACCUGAAGGGCUGAGAGGAAAUCUCUAGUUUGUGUUGCUGAUAAUUAUACCUACCGGUUUCAUAUUUUCGAUGUCCUGCCCCUGCGCAAACAGGUGAGAAUUAAACUUGAUUCAACUAUGCGUACAUAUACAUCAUAUUAGUGUUAUGUUAUGCUUUUGGAUGUCAGAAAUAAAUGGAACCUGAUUUGGUGUUAGAUUAGUGUUGGAUUGGAUUUGAUUGUGUAUGGAGGAAGGGUUGUAUUGGUAUGCUUGGUUGGGUAAUGUGAUUGUGUAUGCUUGUGUUACUUGUUUGUUACUUCUAAUGCAUGAUGCAAUGCAGGAUCUGAACACGUAUCUCAAUAUUUGAGUGUUGUAAUUUUGUUAAGGAGUAAUACUUGGGUCCUUUCUGUGUCUUAGGGUGCUGUCAGUUAAUUUAAUUGAUCUUUUUUGGGCUUUGUAUAGACCUUUUACUCUCAAAUAAGCUGCUGAAGCUGCUUGCACUAUGCUUCGUGUAUACCAAGUAGUUGAACAUGAGAAGGUGUCAUUUCAUUUUGCUUAUAUUCUUUUUGGUUGAAUCUUUUGUCAAUGAAACUCAAGAAGUCUAUUUUUUUUUUCUUGGAACUAUGGUGCCAUUUCUUUUCUUGAAGAUGAUGACAAGAGAAGUCGUUUGGAACUCAAGUAUACAUUUGAGAUCAAAAGAGCAAUUAGAUGAGUUUUGCCAAUACAAUUGUGUUUUUAUUCUUUUAUAUUUCUUUCUCUCUUUCUUUCCCCUCUUGUGAACUGCAUACAUGUUUGUGUUGGUAGUAAUUUAGUUGAAUGUUGAUUAGUAGGUGUGAAACAAUAUCAAUUUUUUCUUUUUAUAAUUAUUUUUUUUACGGCAUUCAAGGAUGUUCUUGAUUCGGGAUUUUUCAGUUCAAACUUGAGUACCAAAGGCCUGGAUACAUGGGCUUGUCCCUGUAAAAGUAGGUAUAUAAUGUACUUGAGUUAUUUAGAGGUAAUCAUAAAUUUGAUUGAUAAUAUCAAUAGGCAUCGUCCAAAAACAUGGGUUGUAUGUAGGAGCUUAGUAUUCUUACAAGUUGUGUCGAGGAUUCGAGAAUAUUGCCUUCUGAUUGUGAACCAUAUUCACGAAAUCCUCCUCGAUUAUAGGAUAUAUUUCUAGGUGAUAGUUUCCAUAGUUGUGUAAUAUACGAUUGUAAAUCCUUCCAUAUCUGUACAAAUUGUCAACGAUUGUAAAUCUUUCCAUAAGAUGACUUUUUCUGCUUUUACAAUUUUUUUUUUAUGAAUUCUUUUAUAUGUGAUAUUUAGUAAUUUAGUUGAA